rnacentral:rRNA from 1 species
UACGAAGGGGGCUAGCGUUGCUCGGAAUGACUGGGCGUAAAGGGCGCGUAGGCGGUUUGUACAGUCAGAUGUGAAAUUCCUGGGCUCGAACCUGGGGGCUGCAUUUGAUACGUGCGGACUUGAGUGAGGAAGAGGGUCGUGGAAUUCCCAGUGUAGAGGUGAAAUUCGUAGAUAUUGGGAAGAACACCGGUGGCGAAGGCGGCGACCUGGUCCUUGACUGACGCUGAGGCGCGAAGCGUGGGGAGCAAACAGG